UGUCAGGGAUGGACGAGCGCAGACGCUUUGUUUCAAAGCAGAUUAGAGAUAGAAGCUAUCACAAACAGAAGCACCGCCAGCCUUCACAAGAGCUCCUCUCGUCUAGACACAGCAUCCCUGAACUCCGCGCAGCCCAGCCAGCACCGCAGCGACGCAAGCGGCUCCAGUAGCCCGCCAAGCCAACGCUCGCCCACCUCAGAGCCGCGGGACGGCGGCCUCUAGGCGGUACGGCGCCCGCUUGGAGGAGCGGCCCGUGCUCGGACCCGCCUCGAGGGGCGGCGCGUGCGGAACCACCCGGGCGGCGCGGGAAGGCGCGGCCUCUUUGGGCGCGGGCGGCCGCGAGGCACGUGGAUUUGCGCGUUCCUGCGGGCAGUCCGAAGGCACAAAAGAAGCUGCCGGCGCUGCUCUGACGGUCCCACGUGGAAGGGUUUGUGUGGAGGAAGCUCAGAAGCCACGCUGCUCCCAGAGGAGCGAUGGUUUCAGGAUCCGGCCUUAGCAGAUGGAAGUAGCGAAGGGCGCUGCGUGAGGUAUAAUGAGAAUUUCACAGUCGGUUGGUGGUUAAGCCACGCUCACUGCUAGUUCAAAAUCGUAUGUUUUUCUUUGGCCUAUUAAACUUACUUAAACGUGA